rnacentral:rRNA from 1 species
UACGUAGGGGGCGAGCGUUGUCCGGAAUUAUUGGGCGUAAAGAGCGUGUAGGCGGUUCGGUAAGUCUGCCGUGAAAACCUGGGGCUCAACCCCGGGCGUGCGGUGGAUACUGCCGGGCUAGAGGGUGGUAGAGGCGAGUGGAAUUCCUGGUGUAGCGGUGAAAUGCGCAGAUAUCUGGAGGAACACCGGUGGCGAAGGCGGCAUUCUGGACCAAUAUUGACGCUGAGGAGCGAAAGCCAGGGGAGCAAACGGG